GCCUGCCCCUGCAGCCUGCUGGGUGGAUGUUCCUGCUGGGUGGAUAUUGCCAGCACCAGGCUGGAAAGAGUUCCUUCGCCUUAGAUUGAGAAGGAAAGAGGCGGGUGUUUGUGGAUACAUUUGUGACUUGUCAUUAGCCCUGAUGCUUUAGAGGACACAGUGGUGGAGUGGAGGAUAGAAGCUCUGGGAACACUCAAGAACCAGCCUGAAAGUGCUGCCACUUAGACAUAUAGCUUCCCAAGCCACGGUUCUAAAGAGCUCUGCGAUUGGGGGUGGGGUGGGGUGGGGAUUUCAGGGUUGUGGAAAUCUGUUCAGUGGGAGCUUCGCUCAAAGCGGAAUGAACUGAGCUUCAUACACGGAAACUUCCUCGAGAGGCUAACCCAAAGUCUGCACCAUUGCAUCUGCUUUAGUGGGUGAUUACAGGGCUUGGCAGCAGGGCAGUGACUACUAUUACAAACCUGGCAUUUGAUCAUGUACACACAUCCUCAGAGAGCAGACGGUGGACACAGCGCCACAGUCCACUGCAUAAAUGAGCAUAAGCAUUCAAGUUCACACAAAACUACUUCAACUCGGGUGGACACAAAAUGACAGCCAGCUAUUAUUCACACUGUACACAUAGGCAGCAAGUGAAUAUUGACACCAUUUCUGAAAAAAAAAAAAACAACCUUUAAUACAGUUUCCUUUGUCUUUCCAGUCUCUCAUAGUAUCAGAAAGGUCAGUCUCCCGAGGAGCCAUUUGAUAAAGCAGACACGCUGCAUUUUCCUUUAUUAAACUAUAGGGUGUUUUGUUCUGUCACUUAAAUGUAACUGUUGUGACCAUCUUCCGGUUAGAUCCUUUGUUCUUCAAUAACCGACUCUUAGACCGUACUUCUCGUCAUCCUUCCGCGGAACAUGGAUGACUAUUCAAGUUGGUCAUGAUCUUCUUAAAGUGGUCCUGUCUGUCUGUCCAGACUAACAUCUUUCCACAGUAAAAGACUAAUUGCUGUUGGUAGCAGCUACCUCCGGCAUGCCAACUGUGCCCAUGACGUCACAGUCCCCUUGUUGAUUCUUGGGGUUACCUUAUGAUUCUGUAGGUUAUUUGAUACUUCUCUAUAUAAGCACAUCACUUACGAAUGAAGACAUUUUUAUUUCCUUUCGAUUUCUCUUAGGAACUCCCACAAGAUAGUUUAUAAGAAUGCUAAGAAUUGCGAUCUGACCUCCUCGACUUAAUGAAAGACGUUGGUUUUAAAUCAUCAAUAUGAUACCACCAAUGGAAUUUUUUAAAGUCAAAUUUUAAAGAGUGAAAUAUAUUUCUAUUUUAAAUGUA